CAACGAGCAGCGAGCAGCUCAGAUAUUUAAUGCUUUUCCGGUUGGCAGUUACAUGUGUUGGCCGUAAUGAAUAUAACUACAGACUACACAGGUUUUCAGCUCAAUCAAUAUGGAUAGCUUUGGCUUGCCAGUCGUCCAAGCGAUGCAAAAACUGUUCUCUGUCCACAACUUUAAGAAACGCUCACAAAACUACUGCUCUCAACAUAGGAAGAUGGUUGGCACCACUACACACUCUUAAAGCGAAAUAACGGAAGAUAUCCAUAUGUAAACACAUACGCAAGCGGCUAAAUAUUAUUGGGAGAAUAUAUUAUACCACACUCCUGGCUCUUUGACCUACACUGAGUAACGCUCUGAACACAUAGAGCGCGACAGACUGCAAGCGACAUCUGUCAAAUAUUAAAAUACACACGUUUUUAAGGACACAGUUAUUGAGACAAGUGCACAACUACAUAACUGCGACCAUAACAAUAUGUGUGUUUUAAUAUUUGACAGAUGUCGCUUGCAGUCUGACGCGCUAUAUGUGUUCAGCACAUAAGUCGUGCUCUUUGGUUUGCAAUAUGCGCUGGGCGCUCUUCGCUCUAUGCUGCCUUGCAGAAGCUUCUGCGCAAUUGGAUAAGUUGUACGCUUUCGUAGUCGUGUCACUAGCAUUAUGUAAUCGCUUUAAAGAGAGUUUAAGUAAAUGAGCAACGUAGAUCGGAAGGAGAGUGUAUGGGAAACGGAAGUUAACUGCCUGAGCGAACUCUAAUACGCAAGGGGAACGGAAAUGAAUUUGCUGAAAGCCUUAAAAUCAGAAAGGGGUAAUUAGUAGUGAAAGACUGGGAGCAACAAGUGCAAAUGGCUUAUAUAGGUAAGUAUUUCCAAAAAAAACUAGUCGUUGACAAUAACUCGGCAAUUCUGGUGUCUAACUGCGCUAAUUGAUAAACAAUAAUAAGCAGACAUAAACUUUUUGGAAAAUUUGGCAAAAGUGAUUAAAUUUCAUUAGACAAUGAAGUGCCCUUUAUAAAAAAGAAGUGAUCAUUAUAUUAAAAAGUGAACUUAUAUAAUUAACUGGAAAUUAAAAACGUAAAACUGUAUGGAGAUGUGAGAGUCGGUUUGGGUCGGUUCCGUUCGGUUUAAAAUGAGACGUAAUCUUUCGCGCAGCAAACGAUAGACAAAUUUGAGAGAGCAGAGCAUAACUGGAAACCGUUCGAAGCAGAAAUAGUGGGUUCAGUGUAAAGAAAUAAAAAGUCGAAGUAAUUGAGAAAUCCAUGUUAACUGUAUGCGAGCAUACAUUUUCAAAACUGAGCAAGAGAGAUACUUCGCUU